ensembl:lncRNA
GCCAGCCACUGAUCCACAGUCUGUCUGUCUCUGCUCUCACUGAGCUGGAGGAUGUACUCCUGUAGAUCGUCCAAAGCUGGGCCCUGCAGGGAGCAGGGUGAGAGAAGAGACCUGGAAAGGGAGGUCAGAGGCCCCCACCCCCCACGCCCACCCAAGGGGUCUGUGGCUCACCCUGUGCUCCCUAAAGGUGGUGCCCAGCUUCCAGAUGUCCGUUUCCACCUGAGCACGGAGGUGCCCCGAAGUCCUGGGCACCAGCCUCCUGAGAUAAGCAGCCAGGGCCUGGACGUACUCCCCAAAGACCACCAUAUUCAGACUCCUCACAAGGCUCUACGCCCCGAAAAGACAAAAAGAUGGGAAGACCCAAGUGAAAGCAGUCCCAGGGCACAGUCCAGCUGGCCUUGGUUGUACACCCUCAGGGACAGGGGGCGGCAGGGUGUUACAAAUCCCCCCCAUCACGGGUCUGUCCGGGCCUGUCCCCCCCACCCCACAGAUCGAACCCCUAACCACUUGGCUUUUCAGAGGUUGCCUGCCUCCGCUUCUUGGGGUGACCUUCAGCAAGUCACAUCACCUCCCUGAGCCGGCCUCCACCUUGGGAGACCAAGGGCUGGCCAGGGUGACACGAGGGCCAUCCAGCCCAGCCCGUCUUGGGCCCUGGGCCUCCGUGUUGGCAAGGGUUCCCACACCCCUUUGACACCUAGCCCACAUUGGGGAGGGUCAGGAUCCCAGUGGCCAUGCAGAGCUGAUCCCCAGGGUGCCCCCCCCCCCACUACCUCGUAUGUGGGAGUAGGGUGCAUGUUGGGGCAGUGCUCCAGGCUCUGCCACAGGGACCGCAGAGAUUGGACCAGAUCCUUGUUCUUCUCUCCGAAGUGACAACUCAGCAGACUCUGAGGACAGGAGGGUCGGAUGUCACCACAGCCCGAGGCGCCCAGGCUGGCUAUAAUUUCUCCGGCCCUCAUCCUUUCCCCCUCCAGCUCUGUGACACCCACCUUUCUCUGCUGGACCCACAGUCCUGGACCAGAAGGGCCCACACCGAGGGAGCCAGAGGUUUGCCCACUUUCUGCCCCAAAACUCUGUCCACCCUUCUCCUGCCAACUCCUGGGAGGGCCCCAGGUUCAAACAGCAGCCCUGGACUCGAGCUUCUCUCAGAGCCCUCCCGAGUCCUCCCGAGUCCCUCCCCUCUCUCCGUGACCACCGAGGCAUGGCGGGAGCCCCCGACGAUGCUUGCUCCCCUCAGAGCUAAGCUCCAGAGACAUGGGGUGGCGAGAACCACAGCUGCUCCACCCACAUGCAGCCCCAGUCUGCUCAGUUCUCAGUGGAUGCCAAAGGUGGGUGGGUGGGGGAGGCAAAACCAGCCUGCUGAGUGUCUACUCAGGGGACCUGAACAAGUCCCAUUCCCACUAUGACCCUCAGGGCCCAAUCUGUGUGAUGCAGCCUCGUCAGCAUCAUCUAGGAAAUGUGAAGCCAAGUCCAUGAUUGGCCGUGGCUGCUGGGACCUCUGGGUGGAGAAGGAGCCUGGGCCUCCAUCUGGGCCCUGAGAAGAAUGUUGGGAUUGAUGGGCAAUGUGUGCCACACCUCAGCGUGAGGCAAGGGCAGUGUGCAUGCUGUGCUUUUCUUGUCCCUAGAGGAGAUGAACUCUCUAGGUCUCUCCACCUCUGGGUCUUCCCAUGCCACCCUGAGCCAGGUGCUCAGAUCUCUGUAGAAAAUUCAGUGGCAGCUGCCUCAGAAGCUGGUCCCCACAGUGGAAAAUGGAUCCUUGGACAAAGCUGCAGCAAUGCAGACCCACCCUCACCAGCACCUCCCAUCUUCCCAGCCAGGAGGUCCCUGUGAAGAGAGGGCCAGUGUGGGCCUUGCCCUCAGCCAGAAGUUGAAUGGAUCCCGGGAGGCCUCAAACCCUGAAUUUGAAUGGGAAACUCACCUGUGGUUCCCAUAUCCUGGGGGACCCCUUGCCCUCUCAGGGCUUCAUCUCCAGGGUCAGGCCCCAGGCAUCCACGGGGAGCCCUGAAUCCUGGGCAAGGCCCUGCCUUGAAGGCAGCCACAGCUCAGGGGAAGGCAAAGAUGAACGGGCAUGGAGGCCCUGGGAACUCAGUGCAGGGGGCUUCGCCUGCCUAGGGAUGCCCGUGGCUCAGAGCUGGGAUCAGGGGGAGGGGGAAGGGAGUCGGGCCUGGAGGAGCGAGUGCCAGGCCUCAUGAGGGGCUGCAGGCCCACCCCAGCCCUCUCCCCCAGACAGGGCCCCUCCCUCGGGCCAGACAGGAAGCUGACCCUGUCCUUCUCCUGCUCCACACACAGGACUCAGGGCUGGGGAGGGCAGGAGGACUGACAGAGACAUCUCCAACCAGGUUCCAUCGCUGGCACUUUGCCAUGUCCUGUCCCAGUAAAGGCUCUGUUGGGCUGGACGGAAGCCAGGGAGACAGGCCUCCUGCCCAGCCUUCUCUGGGAGCAGAAAUGACCCCAGGCCAGGGCUGGGGUGCGGGACAUCACCUGGCACAGGGCUCUGACUCGAGGCAGGAGGUGGUCCCGGCCAUGGUCCUCAAUGACUUUGAUGGCACCUUGCACAGCUGGGUCCAAGCGUGCCCAGGGAACGUGCGCCCUGCUCAGCCACCACCAUGUCUUCCUGUCAGGGGCAAUAGAAGGGGCCCAUGUGGCCUGGUCAGGAGCACUGUGGGCCCAGCCACAGCCCCAACGCUGCACGCCCUCCCAUGCUGGUGCCCCUCCAUGUUGCCUCCCAGAGAAAAGACGGGAAACAGAUGCUCAUUUCUGUUGUUGUUGUCUAUUUCAUCCCCACUCUUUUUCCUAAAUUUUAUUUUUUGAGGACGAUUAGCCCUGAGCUAAUAUCUACCUCCAAUCCUCUUUUUUGCUGAGGAAGACUGGCCCAGAGCUAACAUCCAUGCCCAUCUUCCUCUAUAUGUGGGACGCCUGCCACAGCAUGGCACAAUCAUCGGUGCGUAGGUCUACGCCCAGGAUCCAAACUGGUGAACCCAUGGUCUCCGAAGCGGAGCGCGUGAACUUAACUCCUACAACACCAGGCCAGCCCCACUAAAUGUAUUUAUUUAUGGAAUAAGCGUGACAUCCAUGUGGUUAAAAUACAAAAGGAAAACUUCCCCUCCCCAGAAGCAGCCAGUGUUAUUGGCACCUGGCCUUUCCUGAACCCAAUCCUGCAAUUCCGUACACACAUGUGUGUGUAGGGUAGGUUCUUCCCCCUUUUCUCACAGAUGGCAGCAAAUCAAUGGUCCACAUGAUUGGCCCACAGGGUCCAAAGCCUGGCUGCCUAGCCCACCAGCUCAGCUGGCCCCCUGCCCAAGCCUGGGACAUACCUGAGGAUGCAGCAGUUUUCCAGCACAUGCAGCUCGGGAAAGGUGUGGUCACUGGUGUUCUGCUGGAUGAAGACUUCAGCCUUAUCCUUGUAGCUGCGGUGUGAAGAAGAUGCUGGCCCCUCCCACCAGGCAUAGCCCCCCAGGUCAGCCCCACCCAGCCAGGCCCUCAAAACUCUCCCUUCUCAUCUCAACUGCUGCUUCUCUCAUAGAAUCACAAAUGUGGGUGAUGAUAACCGUGAUGGAGACUACGCAGCGAGGAUUUACUCGCGCUGGCUCUGUGCCAGGUGCUGCAGCCAGAUGCUUCCUGAGGAUCUUUUCAUUGAACGCUCUCCACGACCUUUUGGGGUAAAUGCUUCCAGAAAAGGAUGGGAGCAGGGUUUCCCAGUGGUCUGGAAUCACAGCUAACCCUGCAUUCUAGAGGCCCAGCCUUCCUGGCUGGUGAAGGAAAAGGUCAGGAAGAAGGCAGCGCUCCCAGAGCCGGGCUGGCCCCCUGGGAGAGUCUGAGUAAGGCCUGGGAGUGCACACAAGAAGGAGAGGUAGCCCCAUGCCCACCUGGGCCAUCACAGCUGGCCUCCCUUCCCCAGGCAGAGAGUGAAGAAAGGUGGCAGAGAGCGUACACACUCCCUGCUCCCUAAAGGCAAGGAAGAAGAGGUGCCCUUGAGCGUCUAGUCCCAAGAAUGCGGAUCAGGGUCUCAAACUGGCCACUGAGCAGAUUUUCUGAAACGUUGAAAACCCGGCUGACUUCACCUAAAAAUCCACUUCUCUGGCCUCUCUUGAGUAACCCACCUGGUGUCAGCACCUUUGGAGACCCCAUCCCAGGUGAACACAGCCAUCUGAAGACCCCAGACACAGGAGCCUCCUGACGCAGCCUCACACAGCACUUUGUCCGAAACUAGCUUCUUAAUAAUUCCCCACAGCCCCAAGAACUCCACAGCACCUCCUCUCACCCAAGCCCAUUAAGACAGAGGCAGAGUCCCCACCUAACCCUUGCGGCUGGGACAGAGCUGGGUGAGCAGCUCAGGGAUUUGACAGCAAGUCCUGCUGUGAAAACCAGAGGGAAGAGAGGGGGCGCUGGCCCCGGCUGCUUGUUUAAGGGAGCACCAAGAAGUUGAGUGACUGAGAUAAAAAGUAAUUUACUGCGAUUUAUUUUUUUCCCCAUGGAGGAAGAUUGACCCUGAGCUAACAUCUGUGCCAAUCUUUCUCUAUUUUGUAUAUGGACUGCCACCACAGCAUGGUUGACGAGUGGUAUAGGUCUGCGCCCAGGAUCCAAACCCGCAAACCUGGGCCACCAAAGCGGAGUGUGCAGAACUUUAACCACUUGGCCACAGGCCGGCCCCUACUGCAAUAUUUUUAAACCUUGAAAUCUGUGCCAAAAAGUCCAUGAUGAACAAAACACCAAGUUUUAAAUCAGGACAGGAUCUGACGCAGCACUUUCACGAUGCUUCCUCCCUGGUUCCCCCAAUCCCAGCCCUGCUGUCCAGUACAGGAGCCCCACGCCCCAUGUGCUGUUCAAAUGUUGAAUAAUUAAAAUUAAAUAAAAUCUAAACUUCAGUUCUUCCGUGGAACUAGCUCAACAACCACCCAGAUCUGGUCCCUCCAUGUUGGAUGGUGCUGACAUGGGACAUUUCCAUCCCCUGCCUCCAGAGCCAGGGCACGAGGUGGAGCAGGCACGACUUGGGGGACCUGAAGCCAAUCCCGCCCCCUUCCCUGCAUCGGGAACUGGCCAAGGCGUGGUGGCCAGCGGCUGGUGGGCUUAGUUAGCUCUCUGACUUGAGUUAGGUAGACCCAGCCAUGCAUGCUCCCCUGCUCUGAGCAGGGGCCACCUUUUCACUUACCUUUCCAGAAACUUUGAAAAUGUUUCCAGAACCAUGGCUUGAACCCGUCUGGUGACGGAUGGCCCAAUGUGUCGGACUGCAUCUACAGCUUCUUUCAGUAGCUGUCAGUCAAAACAAACAGGCUUUCAGGGGGUCCCAGGGCCGACCACAUAGCCAGUGGACGCUGGGAGGAUGUGGUCCUCCCCAAUUUUGUACCUGUGCCCCACCCCUUGCCCCCCUGCCAUGUCUGCCUACUGCAGAUGCCACGCCUUCCACCAGGCCCAUGACCCAACACAUCUCGGCAGGUCUCUCUCCCUCACACCCCUCACUGUGUCCUGCAAUCAGCCAACCUGAACAGCAUUCUCACCCACGUGCUAGGCUUCACCUGUUUGGCCCGGAGGCUGCCCCAACCCCACCUGAGUGCCA